rnacentral:rRNA from 1 species
UGAGAGGGUGACCGGCCACAUUGGGACUGAGACACGGCCCAAACUCCUACGGGAGGCAGCAGUGGGGAAUAUUGCACAAUGGGCGAAAGCCUGAUGCAGCGACGCCGCGUGAGCGAAGAAGUAUUUCGGUAUGUAAAGCUCUAUCAGCAGGGAAGAUAAUGACGGUACCUGACUAAGAAGCACCGGCUAAAUACGUGCCAGCAG